AGGCAGGAGGAAAGCAGAAGUGAGCUCCGGCACAGCCCUGGGAGUCCCAUUUUACAGAUGAAGAAACCAACACUCUGAGGUGUUAGUGACUCAACCUCUCUCUGUGAAGCAGAACUUGGUGGGUGAACACGAAGCGACCUUCUCCUUCCCCUCCCCUUCUCAAUGGAAGCCAUCGCAGGAUACCAGGGCCAGGACCACGCAGCAGAGGAGGACGCCGACCACGCACACACUCCCUGGGGCUGCCAGUGCCCACCCUGCUCAGAUUUGCAAGGCCAAUGUCAGCUCCCUCCUGGGGGGCCUUCCCUGGCCUGGAUCUGAGCCACAGAGCCACAGAAGCUGUCUUUGGAACUGGUGCCAAACCACGCACGAGGAGGAGUGACUGGGACCGAAAGGGGUCUUGGCUUCUUCCUCCAGAGACUAAGGAGGUCGGAUCAGAUGAUCUGCUCCAGUCCCUUUCAGUCCUGACAUACUAGACUCUGUGUUUUCAGUGCUUCCCAGCUCUUAACAGCCUGCAGUCUUGUGUUCUAAGAUCCCCUCCUGGUUCUGACAUUCUGUGUUCUAAGGUCCUUCCCACCUCUUAACACUUGGGUUUGAAGGUGACAUUGUGUGUUCUAAGAGCUCUCACAGCCCUGAUAUUUUGUGUUCUAAGGCCCCUCCCAAGCCUGACAUGAUAUGUUCUAAGGUAACAUUCUCUGUUCUAAGGUCCUUCCCACCUCUGACACUCAUUAUGUUAAGGCAACACUAUAUGUUCAGCGGUCCUCCCAGCCUUGACAGUCUCUGUUCUAAAGUGACAUUCUGUGUUCUAAGGUCCCUCUCACCUCUGACACCUGUGUUCCGAGGUGACAUUCUGUGUUCUAAGAGCCCUCCCAGCUCUGUUAUGGUAUGUUCUAAGGUGACUUUCUAUGUCUUCAGGGCCCCCCUAGCCCUGAUAUUCUGUGUUCUAGGAUGACAUUCUCUGUUCCAAGGGCCCUCCCAGAGUUGAAAUGCUUUGUUCUAAAGUGACUUUCUAUCUCCUCAGGGCCCUCCCAGCCCUGACAGUCUGUGUUCUAGGAUGAAAUUCUGUGUUCUAAAGGUCCUCCCAGACCUGACAUUCUGUGUUCUAGGAUGACAUUCUCUGUUCUAAGGGUCCUCCUAGAGUUGACAUGCUAUGUUCUAAGGUGACUUUCUAUGUUCUCAGGGCCCUCCCAGCCCUGACAUUCUGUGUUCUAAGGGCCCUUCCAGCCCUGACAUUCUCUGUUCUGAAGGUCCUCCCAGCCCUGACAUUCUCUGUUCUAAGGGCCCUCCCAGCCUUGAUAUUCUGUGUUCUAGGAUGACUUUCUGUGUUCUGAAGGCCCUCCCAGCCCUGACAUUCUGUGUUCUAGGAUGACAUUCUCUGUUCUAAGGGUCCUCCUAGAGUUGACAUGCUAUGUUCUAAGGUGACUUUCUAUGUUCUCAGGGCCCUCCCAGCCCUGACAUUCUGUGUUCUGAAGGUCUUCCCAGCCUAUUCUGUGUUCUUGGAUGACAUUCUGUGUUCUGAAGGUCCUCCCAGCCCUGACAUUCUGUGUUCUAGGAUGACAUUCUCUGUUCUAAGGGUCCUCCUAGAGUUGACAUGCUAUGUUCCAAGGUGACUUUCUGUGUUCUCAGGGCCCUCCCAGCCCUGACAUUCUCUGUUCUAAGGGCCUUCCCAGCCCUGACCCUCUUUGCCCCCAGGCCAUCCUUACUGGAGCUGCCGUUUCUGUGGCCCUUUCAGGUGGGCAGGAGACUCUUUCACGGGACCCUCAUCAGAGCCCUGUGAGGGGCCACUCCUCCAGUGGACAUGUCCCAGUGUGUGUGUUCUCUCCAGUGAUGCAGAUUGCAAUCCAUCCAUGCCCAUCCCCCCGGGCACCCGUCAACCACAUGAGGUAGGUUGUACAAAGAUUGUGAUUGUCCCCAUUUUACUGAUGAAAACACAGGCUCAGAGCAGAUAUUUAGCCCAGGUCACUGCUAAGGGUAGGGCCUAGGACUCAAACCCCAGACUCUUGCUGCUGCCCCAUGCCAGCCUCCCCAGAGCCCAGAGGCUGCCCGCCUCAUGCCAGGAA